rnacentral:rRNA from 1 species
CCUUUGUACACACCGCCCGUCGCUACUACCGAUUGAAUGGCUCAGUGAGGCUUCCGGACUGGCCCGGAAUGGGGGGCGACCCCCGUCCUGGGCCGGAAAGUUAUCCGAACUCGGUCAUUUAGAGG